CUGAAGCAGGUCCCAAGGGUUGGUCUGUUCGCCCAUUAAAGCGGUACGUGAGCUGGGUUUAGAACGUCGCAAGACAGUUCGGUCUCUAUCUGUUGCGGGCGUAGGAGAUUUGAAGGGGAGCUGUCCCUAGUACGAGAGGACCGGGAUGGACGAACCUCCGGUGUUCCAGCUGUUUCGCCAGAAGCAAUCGCUGGGUAGCCGUGUUCGGACCGGAUAAGCGCUGAAAGCAUCUAAGUGCGAAGCCGACCCCAAGAUUAGAUCUCCCCUUUCCGGCCGCAAGGUCGGAAAGCUAAAGGCUCCAAGCAGAUUACUUGGUUGAUAGGCCGGCGGUGUAAGUCCCGUAAGGGAUUCAGCCAACCGGUACUAAUCGGCCGUGCGGCUUGGCUACA
rnacentral:rRNA from 1 species